AUUGAACGCUGGCGGCGGGCCUAACACAUGCAAGUCGAGCGGAAGAAGGGGGAUCGCUCCUGGCUUAAGAGCCGGACGGGUGUGUAAAACCCAGGAGUAUCUCCGGAAGUGGGGGGUAAAAUCUGGAAAAGGGCGCGCAAACAGCACACAUCAUGUGGGGGAGAGAGGGGGAGCUUCCGACACCUCGCUCUCUGAGGUGACUAGGUCGGAUUAGCUAGUUGGUGGGGUAAAGGCCUACCAAGGCGACGCUCCGUAACUGGUCUGAGAGGAUGAUCAGUCACACUGGAACUGAGACACGGUCCAGACUCCUACGGGAGGCAGCAGUGGGGAAUAUUGGACAAUGGGGGAAAGCCUGAUCCAGCCACGCCGCGUGUGUGAAGAAGGUCUGCGGAUUGUAAAGCACUUUUAGUUGGGAGAAAGAGCAGUAGGUUAAUACUUUGCUGUUUUGAGUUAACCAACAGAAAAAGCACCGGCUAACUUCGUG
rnacentral:rRNA from 1 species